UACGUAGGGUGCAAGCGUUAUCCGGAAUUAUUGGGCGUAAAGAGCUCGUAGGCGGUUUGUCGCGUCUGCUGUGAAAAUCCGGGGCUCAACCCCGGACUUGCAGUGGGUACGGGCAGACUAGAGUGUGGUAGGGGAGACUGGAAUUCCUGGUGUAGCGGUGAAAUGCGCAGAUAUCAGGAGGAACACCGAUGGCGAAGGCAGGUCUCUGGGCCACUACUGACGCUGAGAAGCGAAAGCGUGGGGAGCAAACAGG
rnacentral:rRNA from 1 species